rnacentral:rRNA from 1 species
UGAACGCUGGCGGCAUGCCUAACACAUGCAAGUCGAACGGAAACGAUGGGAGCUUGCUCCCAGGCGUCGAGUGGCGGACGGGUGAGUAAUACUUAGGAAUCUGCCCAUUAGUGGGGGACAACUAGAAGAAAUUCUAGCUAAUACCGCAUACGCCCUACGGGGGAAAGCGGGGGAUCUUCGGACCUCGCGCUAAUGGAUGAGCCUAAGUCGGAUUAGCUUGUUGGUGAGGUAACGGCUCACCAAGGCGACGAUCCGUAGCUGGUCUGAGAGGACGAUCAGCCACACUGGGACUGAGACACGGCCCAGACUCCUACGGGAGGCAGCAGUGGGGAAUAUUGGACAAUGGGCGCAAGCCUGAUCCAGCAAUGCCGCGUGUGUGAAGAAGGCCUGCGGGUUGUAAAGCACUUUCAGUAGAGAAGAAAAGCCUACGGUUAAUAACCGUGAGUCUUGACGUAACCUACAGAAGAAGCACCGGCUAACUCC